rnacentral:rRNA from 1 species
UCGACCUACGGGGCGCAGCAGUGGGGAAUAUUGCACAAUGGGGGGAAACCCUGAUGCAGCGACGCCGCGUGAGCGAAGAAGUACCUCGGUAUGUAAAGCUCUAUCAGCAGGGAAGAAAGUGACAGUACCUGACUAAGAAGCCCCGGCUAACUACGUGCCAGCAGCCGCGGUAAUACGUAGGGGGCAAGCGUUAUCCGGAUUUACUGGGUGUAAAGGGAGCGUAGACGGCAUGGCAAGUCAGAUGUGAAAGCCCGGGGCUCAACCCCGGGACUGCAUUUGAAACUGUCAGGCUGGAGUGCAGGAGG